UACAGAGGUCUCAAGCGUUGUUCGGAUUCAUUGGGCGUAAAGGGCGCGUAGGCGGCGGGGUAAGUCGGGUGUGAAAUCUCAGAGCUCAACUCUGAAACUGCACUCGAUACUGCUCUGCUUGAGGACUGGAGAGGAGACUGGAAUUCACGGUGUAGCAGUGAAAUGCGUAGAUAUCGGGAGGAACACCAGUGGCGAAGGCGGCCUGCUGGGCAGUUGCUGACACUGAGGCGCGACAGCGUGGGGAGCAAACAGG
rnacentral:rRNA from 1 species